UUGGCCUCAACCAUCCUCCCGCUCUCUUCUCUCCUCCUGCUUUCUUUACUUUUUUAGCAAAGGUGCAUGACACAAAAGGCAAGGCUUCUCGUUUGCAUUGGGGCACUGAAAUUAGCAGGCCUGAGUUAAUCUUUAGCGGCAGAUUUUUUUUCAGAUCUUUCCAUUUUGCUGGAAAAGCAGACGCGACGGAGAUCUUGGGAAGUUCCAGAGAAGCAGUUAUGGUGGUUUAAGCGUGUUCUGAGGGUGGUGACCAGCAGCCACACUGACCUCAGGGUCCUUCCUCCCACCAGAGUAGCUCCUCACCCCCCCGCCUGCCCAGUGUUCAGACUACCUGUUCAUCGGGCUUCAGCUGAACAGUAGUCUGCACAUUGGUUAGGCUGGGCUGGGACGCACACUCCAGCCAGCACGGGCAACGUCACAUCACUUUCAGCGCUUUAUCCUAGCGGUGUCAUGGACGCGAUGUCAUUCUGAUGUAUGUGUGUGGUGCAUUAUCACUCUGUCAGUUAGUCAUAAACCUUAUAGAUGUAUGAAAAUGCAGCAAGAAAUGACUCUUACCUCCUCAUCUUUGUACCAGGACAGGGACUCAGCAGUCAGUACAAACCAGUACUCCUUGGAGCCUCCCUUCAUGAUGCUAAUGUGGAUGGUUAGCCAGCCUUUGCGAAUCACCUGGAAGUAGCAGAUGUGGAGGGAGUGGAAAGAAGGGUGGUAGGGGAAAAUGGGGUAACGGGAGGACGGAGGAUAACAGCUUUAUCAGUCUGGCUUAAGGUACUGGUGACAUGACGGGCCCAUCACAUCUUGUAGUAUUAAUCCUGGGGUGCAUGUGAUGGCUAAAAAUAAAACCCUAUUUUCUUACCUGGUAGGUAACUGAAUUUGGUUGUCUUCUAUUUCACAAAUAUUAAAAAAAAGUCAACGUCUCUGGGCUGGAUAAUGAUAAUAUAUGCAUGUGAUAGUACAUAUGCAAAGCAUACAUGUGUAACUUACUGAAGACAGCACAGAGCUGGAAAAAAAAAAUCAUAGUAACAUCGUGUAUAAUCUAUGUCAGAUGACUAAGCAUUAAAAAGUUUUGUUGAAAUCAGUCUUCUGUACUUGACAGUAAAGAAAUCCUCAACCCAACAAGAAGCAUAUACCACAUAUUAGCCCCAAAAUGGAGACAAAGACCAACGGCGAUGUGUUAAGAGUCAGUAGGUCAGUAAAAGCAAAGUUUUCCCACUGCUAAAGAAAAUGGCAUUAGUGAGGUUAACUGGACUUGGUGAUGUGGAGAUCUGAUACCUGAUUAGCAAAGAUGAGUGCAAGAGGAAAAGUGUUAAAAAGAAA